UCAUUCUUUCAUUUCACUUAAAAAAAAAACUAAAGCCUCUAAAAAAUUUUCUCUCAACCAACCUCUGCAGGAGGAAUUCCGGCGCCGUCCGUCACCGUUGGCCACCGUGCACGGUGGCCGGAUAUCCAAAAACGGUGGAUGAGGUCAACGGUGGCAGAGUUGAUGGAGGCAGGUGGAGGGACGGUAUGGUGGCCGGCAGAGGCUAGGGCGGCUAACCUAGGGUUUUUUAGUUUUCUCUCCUUUUUUUUAAUUGUUGUGGGCUAAAGUUAAGUGUUUGUUUGGCCCAUGUAAUUGGGUUAGGAUAGGUUGGGUUUUUAUUUUGUUGGGUAAGUUUAGUCUGGGCCAAAAUUGGGCCUCAACAAAUAUGUUUAGAAAUUAUUAAUAUCACAACUGUAUUAUUAUUUCUUUUUAUGGGAUUGUAUUUUGGUUAUAUAGAUAA